CCUACGGGGGGCAGCAGUGGGGAAUAUUGGACAAUGGGCGAAAGCCUGAUCCAGCCAUGCCGUGUGUGUGAAGAAGGCCUUCGGGUUGUAAAGCACUUUCAGUGGGGAAGAAAGCCUUGGGGCUAAUACCCUCGAGGAAGGACAUCACCCACAGAAGAAGCACCGGCUAACUCCGUGCCAGCAGCCGCGGUAAUACGGAGGGUGCGAGCGUUAAUCGGAAUUACUGGGCGUAAAGCGCGCGUAGGCGGUCUGAUAAGCCGGUUGUGAAAGCCCCGGGCUCAACCUGGGAACGGCAUCCGGAACUGUCAGGCUAGAGUGCAGGAGAGGAAGGUAGAAUUCCCGGUGUAGCGGUGAAAUGCGUAGAGAUCGGGAGGAAUACCAGUGGCGAAGGCGGCCUUCUGGACUGACACUGACGCUGAGGUGCGAAAGCGUGGGUAGCAAACAGGAUUAGAUACCCGAGUAGUC
rnacentral:rRNA from 1 species